rnacentral:rRNA from 1 species
UGGCGGACGGGUGAGUAACGCGUGGGCAACCUGCCCUUAUCUGGGGGAUAACAGUUGGAAACGACUGAUAAUACCGCAUAAUAUGGUUUGAAGGCAUCUUCUUUCCAUCAAAGAUUUAUCGGAUAAGGAUGGGCCCGCGUCUGAUUAGCUUGUUGGUGAGGUAACGGCUCACCAAGGCGACGAUCAGUAGCCGGCCUGAGAGGGUGAACGGCCACAUUGGGACUGAGACACGGCCUAAACUCCUACGGAAGGCAGCAG